rnacentral:rRNA from 1 species
UGGGGAAUAUUGGACAAUGGACCAAGAGUCUGAUCCAGCAAUUCUGUGUGCACGAUGAAGUUUUUCGGAAUGUAAAGUGCUUUCAGUUGGGAAGAAAAAAAUGACGGUACCAACAGAAGAAGUGACGGCUAAAUACGUGCCAGCAGCCGCGGUAAUACGUAUGUCACGAGCGUUAUCCGGAUUUAUUGGGCGUAAAGCGAGCGCAGGUGGUUAGAUAAGUCUGAAGUUAAAGGCAGUGGCUCAACCAUUGUAGGCUUUGGAAACUGUUUAACUUGAGUGCAGAAGGGGAGAGUGGAAUUCCAUGUGUAGCGGUGAAAUGCGUAGAUAUAUGGAGGAACACCGGUGGCGAAAGCGGCUCUCUGGUCUGUAACUGACGCUGAGGCUCGAAAGCGUGGGGAGCGAACAGGAUUAGAUACCCUGGUAGUCCACGCCGUAACGAUGAGUGCUAGGUGUUAGGUCCUUUCCGGGACUUAGUGCCGCAGCUAACGCAUUAAGCACUCCGCCUGGGGAGUACGACCGCAAGGUU